rnacentral:rRNA from 1 species
CAGCAGCCACGGGAAUACGUAGGGUGCAAGCGUUAAUCGGAAUUACUGGGCGUAAAGCGUGCGUAGGCGGUUCGUUAAGUCUGUUGUGAAAGCCCCGGGCUCAACCUGGGAAUGGCAAUGGAUACUGGCGAGCUAGAGUGUGUCAGAGGAUGGUGGAAUUCCCGGUGUAGCAGUGAAAUGCGUAGAGAUCGGGAGGAACAUCAGUGGCGAAGGCGGCCAUCUGGGACAACACUGACGCUGAGGCGCGAAAGCGUGGGGAGCAAACAGGAUUAGAUACCCCUGUAGUCCCUGUCUCUUAUAC